UACGUAGGUGGCAAGCGUUGUCCGGAUUUACUGGGCGUAAAGGGCGCGCAGGCGGCUGAUCAAGUCAGAUGUGAAAGCCCCGGGCUCAACCUGGGAAUAGCAUUUGGGACUGGUCGGCUAGAGUUCGGGAGAGGAGAGUGGAAUUCCCAGUGUAGAGGUGAAAUUCGUAGAUAUUGGGAAGAACACCGGUGGCGAAGGCGGCUCUCUGGACCGAUACUGACGCAUGAGGCGCGAAAGCGUGGGGAGCAAACAGG
rnacentral:rRNA from 1 species